rnacentral:rRNA from 1 species
CGCCAAAUAACUACGAGUAAAAACUUAAAAUUUAAAAGACUUGACGGUACCUCACAACAACCUAGAGGAGCCUGUCUAAUAACCGAUAUUCCACGAUAAACCCAACCCCCCCUAGCCUUAACAGUCUAUAUACCGCCGUCGCCAGCCUACCCUGUGAAAGAAACAAAGUAAGCUAGAUAGUCAUACACUAACACGACAGGUCGAGGUGUAACUAAUGAGGGGGCCCAAGAUGGGCUACAUUUUCUAACACAGAAAACACGAAUAAACUAUGAAACAAGAAACUGAAGGCGGAUUUAGCAGUAUACUAAGAACAAAAUACAUAAUAGAAACCAACGCAAUGAGGUGC